UACGAAGGGGGCUAGCGUUGCUCGGAAUCACUGGGCGUAAAGCGCACGUAGGCGGCUUUUUAAGUCAGGGGUGAAAUCCUGGAGCUCAACUCCAGAACUGCCUUUGAUACUGAAGAUCUUGAGUUCGGGAGAGGUGAGUGGAACUGCGAGUGUAGAGGUGAAAUUCGUAGAUAUUCGCAAGAACACCAGUCGGCGAAGGCG
rnacentral:rRNA from 1 species